CCGGGCUGGAAGCAGCUGCACUGUGUGUUUGGUGGCAAAUACUCUUUAAAUUCACCAUUUGUGUGCGUCAAUUUGACCAAACCACACAUAUACCAUACACUUACGCUCCACAGACACACACCUAUGAUCACAACACUAUCUUGUACCGAGCUGAUGUCCCAGUGCUGUGUACUCAACACUAAAUUGGCUAUUAAAGAUCUGUUGAAUGAA